rnacentral:rRNA from 1 species
CCCUUAGACGUUCUGGGCCGCACGCGCGCUACACUGACCAGUGCAACAAGCAUCCGUCCUUGGCCGACAGGCCCGGGCAAUCUUUGAACGCUGGUCGUGAUGGGGAUAGACUUUUGCAAUUUUUGGUCUUCAACGAGGAAUUCCUAGUAAACGCAAGUCAUCAACUUGCAUUGAUUACGUCCCUGCCCUUUGUACACACCGCCCGUCGCACCUACCGAUUGAAUGGUCCGGUGAAGCCUCCGGAUUGGCGCGCACUUCGGUGCCGCCGAGAAGUUGGCUAAACCUUACCAUUUAGAGGAAGGUGAAGUCGUANCA